UCUGGGACCAUCCUUCUAGGCUGGGGAGGUCAGGGCACAAGAGAGACUCCAAUCCGGUCAAUAGGCGUUCUGCAGUGCAUGCCCUGCCAGGGAAAUGAAAGAGGAUGUUUGCUUCCUGCCAAGGUAUAAACAACAACAGUGUUCCCUGGGAAUCUGUCCUCAGCUGCCCUCCUCCCUCAGAGCACCUCUCCCCCUGGGCUUCUCUGAGGGCCCCAGUAAAAAGCAAUGCCCAGCAGACUGCUUCUCCGGAGGACCAGGAGGACUCAGGCUCUGAUUGCCAUCCAGGAAGUUUUUCUGUGGACUCUGACAGCCCAAGGAGAAGGGAAAAGAAGAGAAGAAAACCCUGCUGACUUCGGGAAUAUUUGACACCAAGGACUCAGCCACAGUGAGAGAGCAUCCGUUCCCAGGAGGGAUGGGUAAAUUUGGAACAUCUCCGGGGAGGAUCCUGCCAGGCUGAGGGAGCCUGGAGCCUUGCUUCAGAAUGCCGAGAUGUUUAGCUUACUGCAUUUUCUUCUUUUGUCCUUGCUGACAACCGCAUUCCCUGUGUGAGGACGCAGUAUACAGCCUCUCCUCUGCCAUCCAACUCUCUCAGGACCCCCUAUCUCAUGGAGGAGAACACUGAGGGGAAAUUAUGAGAAGUGGAAUUUACCUGUCAGCAAGACCCCUAAUCAAGAAGAAACAAGAGCUUCCGAGGCUUGGGAAAUGACUCUGUGGGGAAUUAAGCUACUGCUCCAAGGUGAGGGCUUAUGUUUGAGCCCAGCACCCACAUAAAAAGCAGGGUAAGGGAUUGGGUACCUGUAUCUCAGCACUGGGGAAGCAGAGACAGGAGGAGGCCUGGGGCUCCCUGGCUAGGCACUUCAGGUGAAUCUGUGUGUAGUAGUUAUUCCUGGUUGUCAACUUGACUGUAUCUGGAAUGAACUCUGACCUGGAUCUUGGCUUGGAGAUCUUGAGGCACAGUGGCUAUGAAUCCCAGAAGAUUAAGACAGGGAGAUCUCUGAGUUCAAGGUCAUAUGGGACAAAGCAAGUCCCAGAUCCGAUCAUGGUGGCACACACCUUUAACCUGGACCACACCCUCUGCUGGAGACCUACAUAAGGACACUGGAAGAAGAUUCACUCUCUCUUCUCUUAUUUGCCUCGUGGGACUGAGCAACUGCUAGGUCCUUGGACAUUCAUUCACAGCUGCUGCUGACCAUUGUUGGAAGUUGGACUACAGACUGUAAGUCAUUAACAACUUCCCUCACUAUAUAGAGACUACCCAUGCCUUCUGUGGCUCUAGAGAACCCCGACUGAUACAUUGUGUGUUUUGGGUUCAGAGAGAGGCCCUGACUCAAAAACUAAGGUGAACUGCA